AUCUUUGCGCUUGGGGCAAUGACGCAGCUAGUGAGGUAAAACCGAGGCGCGUCAAUUGCUGGUUGAAAACUAUUUCCAAACCCCCUCAUUGGCCCGGGUUCAGCCUUGGCCUUUGAGAAUUUCUGGAAGGGAUCCCUCAAAAAGGGUAACCCCUACUAUUCUAAUUCC
rnacentral:snRNA from 1 species